UGGUAUGGGGGUGGUGGCGGCCUCCUGCACCGACGCCAGAUCUCCUCGUCGAUGGCUUCCAGGGGCAUGUCGU
rnacentral:miRNA from 1 species